ACCAACUGCCUUGCUCCACUUGCCAAGGUCAUCAACGACAGGUUUGGCAUCGUUGAGGGUCUCAUGACCACUGUCCACUCUAUCACCGCUCUUGCCAUGGCCAAGGCACCAUCAAGACUUUGGUUUCCACCAAUAAAUCCACACUAUUUUGACUUUUUACAGCAAAAAUAAGAAAUUACACACUACACUUUACCGUGAUAUUAUUUUAUUUUACUUUAUUGUUAAAGCUAAAGAAAGUAAGAAACUAUCCUCUUUUGUUGCUUUAACCAAAUUAGUGAUUUUUCCCCUCUUCUAAAAGAACAAUCAAG